UACAGAGGUGGCAAGCGUUGUUCGGAAUUACUGGGCGUAAAGGGCGCGUAGGCGGCCUCCUGAGUCAGACGUGAAAUCCCCCGGCUUAACCUGGGAACUGCGUCUGAUACUGGGAGGCUUGAGUAUGGGAGAGGGAUGUAGAAUUCCAGGUGUAGCGGUGAAAUGCGUAGAUAUCUGGAGGAAUACCGGUGGCGAAGGCGGCAUCCUGGACCAUAACUGACGCUGAGGAGCGAAAGCCAGGGGAGCAAACGGG
rnacentral:rRNA from 1 species